GUUUAUAGAAUAAUCAAGUAGGCAUUGAAAUCAAUGCAAAUUACAACGAGUAAUCAUUUCCAGCUGUCUAAACAGAAGCCCCAUUUGGCGUCCACAGUAGAGUCCUAAAUGUGAGUAGUUGAUGCUACAUUGUAUAAUCUCAUAUUAUCCUUUUUUAUUAGCCUAAGAUCAUGUCUUGCUGCAAACGUUUCUGUCGAGUCUGUCGUCGUUGGUACUGCUGCAGUGGAAGCCCGACCUGCUGUUGUGGUGCCUAUCGUGGUCCCUGCUCUGGACCGUGCGGUGGCCCCUGUCAUGGUGACAGCUGUGGACCCUGCUGCGGCAACUGUUCCUGCUCCUGUGUGAUGUGCUCUAGUGGCAUCGGAACAUGCGGUCAGCCCCGUGGCAGAUCCUGCUUGCCCCGAAGGUGCUGAACUUGAUGGAUUAGUGGCGUUUGGAUUUUACUGUGUGUGAUAAUUGGGAUACUACAAAAUUGUGUUGUAUGUGAAAUGAAUACAUGUUUC
rnacentral:lncRNA from 1 species